ensembl:snRNA U6 U6 spliceosomal RNA
GUGCUUGCUUCGGCAGCACAUAUACUAAAAUUGGAACGAUACAGAGAGGAUCAGCAUGGCCCCUGUGCAAGGAUGACAUGCAAAUUUGUGAAGCGUUCCAUAUUUAA